rnacentral:rRNA from 1 species
UAAAACUCUGUUGUUAAAGAAGAACAAGGAUGAGAGUAACUGCUCAUCCCCUGACGGUAUUUAACCAGAAAGCCACGGCUAACUACGUGCCAGCAGCCGCGGUAAUACGUAGGUGGCAAGCGUUGUCCGGAUUUAUUGGGCGUAAAGCGAGCGCAGGCGGUUCUUUAAGUCUGAUGUGAA